rnacentral:rRNA from 1 species
CAGGCCUAACACAUGCAAGUCGAACGGCAGCACGGACUUCGGUCUGGUGGCGAGUGGCGAACGGGUGAGUAAUGCAUCGGAACGUGCCCAAUCGUGGGGGAUAACGUAGCGAAAGUUACGCUAAUACCGCAUACGAUCUAAGGAUGAAAGCGGGGGAUCGCAAGACCUCGCGCGAAUGGAGCGGCCGAUGUUAGAUUAGGUAGUUGGUGGGGUAAAGGCUCACCAAGCCGACGAUCUAUAGCUGGUCUGAGAGGAUGAUCAGCCACACUGGGACUGAGACACGGCCCAGACUCCUACGGGAGGCAGCAGUGGGGAAUUUUGGACAAUGGGCGCAAGCCUGAUCCAGCCAUUCCGCGUGCAGGAUGAAGGCCCUCGGGUUGUAAACUGCUUUUGUACAGAACGAAAAGCUCUGGGUUAAUACCCUGGGGUCAUGACGGUACUGUAAGAAUAGCACCGGCUACUC